UGUGUGUGUGUGUGUGUGUGUGUGUCUGUGAGACACACACACACACACACACACACG
rnacentral:miRNA from 1 species